rnacentral:rRNA from 2 species
AGAGUUUGAUCCUGGCUCAGGAUGAACGCUGGCGGCGUGCCUAAUACAUGCAAGUCGAGCGAACGGACGAGAAGCUUGCUUCUCUGAUGUUAGCGGCGGACGGGUGAGUAACACGUGGAUAACCUACCUAUAAGACUGGGAUAACUUCGGGAAACCGGAGCUAAUACCGGAUAAUAUUUUGAACCGCAUGGUUCAAAAGUGAAAGACGGUCUUGCUGUCACUUAUAGAUGGAUCCGCGCUGCAUUAGCUAGUUGGUAAGGUAACGGCUUACCAAGGCAACGAUGCAUAGCCGACCUGAGAGGGUGAUCGGCCACACUGGAACUGAGACACGGUCCAGACUCCUACGGGAGGCAGCAGUAGGGAAUCUUCCGCAAUGGGCGAAAGCCUGACGGAGCAACGCCGCGUGAGUGAUGAAGGUCUUCGGAUCGUAAAACUCUGUUAUUAGGGAAGAACAUAUGUGUAAGUAACUGUGCACAUCUUGACGGUACCUAAUCAGAAAGCCACGGCUAACUACGUGCCAGCAGCCGCGGUAAUACGUAGGUGGCAAGCGUUAUCCGGAAUUAUUGGGCGUAAAGCGCGCGUAGGCGGUUUUUUAAGUCUGAUGUGAAAGCCCACGGCUCAACCGUGGAGGGUCAUUGGAAACUGGAAAACUUGAGUGCAGAAGAGGAAAGUGGAAUUCCAUGUGUAGCGGUGAAAUGCGCAGAGAUAUGGAGGAACACCAGUGGCGAAGGCGACUUUCUGGUCUGUAACUGACGCUGAUGUGCGAAAGCGUGGGGAUCAAACAGGAUUAGAUACCCUGGUAGUCCACGCCGUAAACGAUGAGUGCUAAGUG